GUUUUUGUGAGUAAAAAUUGUACUAAAGAAGCAUAUAUACAAAUUCUUGCACCCAACGUUGUGUCACUCGCCCUGUCUCAAACAGCGCAGAGCCACAGUCCAUGAUUAUAAUGGCCUCACGAUGGCGCAAGAGUGUCACACCAUGGCCCGCCCUCCCGCCAGUGCUUCCAGCCUCGCGGGGGCGGGGCCCUGAUUAAAAGAAGCCAUCAGUGGCUGUAGACGUAACGCGUCCGCCGUGUCAUCUCAUGGACGGUAAGAGGGCUAUCCCGGGCGUUUCACCGUGGAUACUGGGAAUAAUUCACGACGGAUAUUCUCUCCAAUUCAAACGCAGACCUCCCCGCUUCAAUGGCGUGGUCCCGUCACUGACUUUGCCCCAAAACCGUCCUGUUCUGCGACAGGAAGUUCUCAGUCUGCUCGAGAGAGAGCGAUAGAGCGAAAUUUCCCCUCAGAUCGAGCGGAAUGCGCAUGUUGAAUUAUCUGGACGAUUGGCUGAUUUUAGCCCACUCAGGAGAUGUGCUAUCAGUCACGUGGAAACAAUGCUUCGCCGUUUGGAUACGCUGGGACUGCGUGUGAAUAUGCAGAAGAGCGUGUUUUUACGAGUCGGACUGUAACAUAUCUGGGAAUAUGUUUGGACUCGAUGGCGAUACAAGCUCAUCUCUCUCUAGAGCAUUUCAUCGACUCUGCGCUGUUUCUGACUGGGCAGGUCGUUUGCACUGAGGGAAUUUCAGAGGCUUCUGGGACUGAUGGCGGCGGCUUCUUCAGUGUGCCAUCUGGGUCUGCUACAUUGCGGCCGCUACAGUUUUGGCUGUAACUCGAGUUCCGCCGAGGGCGUGGUCUUCGGUCCACAAGCACUUACGGUCAUUCACAGUUGCGUCAGCACUCUGAGACCGUGGAACAGCCCGGAUAUGUUCAGCCCAGGAGUUCUUUUCUCUGCGAAUCUAGGCUGGGGAGCAGUGCGUCUGGGCCUGUGGUCGGAGUCACAGAGAAGGUGACACAUAAACCGUUUGGAAUAAUGGAAGCGGUGUCCUAAUAUCCCUGCAAGCCUUUCGGUCGAGAUUGGAGCGGAAACAUGUACUGAUUCAAACCGACAACACGUCUGUGGUCUCGUACAUAAAUCGCCAGGACGGCGUGCGCUCCAGAGCUCUAUUCAAACAGGCAGCGAGUUUCCUGUUGUGGGCGGACCGACACUUAAUCUCCAUAGGAGCGUCGCACAUCCCCGGUACUUUGAACCGUGGAGUGAGCAUGCUUUUGAGGAACGGGAUUCCUCAAGGAGAUGUUGGCUUCACCCAAGAUCAGAUCUAAUGAUUUGGGAGGGAGGAAGUGGAUUUGUUUGCCACGAGCGAGAACACGUUUGCUAUCUCACUCCCCCUUGCUGGGAGAUGCUCUGACAUCGCGCUGGCCGGAAGCCAGGCUUACACGUUCCCUCCUGUGAAGAUUCUGCCUGUGUUGUGCAAAAUCAGGGAGGAGAAAGCAUCAGUUAUACUCGUGGCCCCGAACUGGCCGAAUCAGCCCUGGUUCGGGACCUGAGAGAGUUACUGAUGGCUCCCCCAUGGUGAAUCCCCCUCAAGCAGGACCUGCUGUCUCAGGCGAAUGGCACAAUAUAGCACCCCAGCCCCGAGCUGUGGAACCUUCAUGUGUGGCCGCUGCGGGGACCCUAAUGAGCGGGACUCUCUGCACUGACGAGUGCUAAACACACACUUACUGAGACGCGAGCAUCAUCAAACAUUCGCUGCUACGCGCAGAAGUGGUGAGUUUUCACAAAAUGGUGCGAGAACAUUUAUAUUGACCCGGGGACCUGUUCCGUGUCGGAUGUUUUGCGCUUUCUACAGCACAGUUGGAUAGCGGGAGUUUGAAACCAUCCACGCUGAAGGUGUAUGUGACCGCUAUUGCCGCUUUCGUUCCCCGGUUACGGGUAAACGAUCGGUAAGCACGCUCUGGUAUUCAGUUUUCUCAGGGGAGCAAGUCGAUUGUGUACUUCAAGGCCGCCCUCCGUGCCGCCGUGGGAUUUCGCUCUAGUUUUGAGGGCUCUAUCUCUUAUUACCGUUCGAGCCAUUAGCUUCGAUUGCGGUUAAGGAGCUUCCCUGAAGACUGCCUUGCCUCUUGCUCUCGCCUCAGCGAAGUGCCUUGGAGAAUUUUCGUGAGUGUUUGGUGAACGAUAUUGCAUUGGUUUCGGGCCUGGCGACUGUAAUGUCAUUCUCCGGCCGAGACCGGGUUUCGUUUCUAAGUCACUCAAUACACCGUUUUGUUUCCCUGCCCGCCUUAUCUGUUGAGCCGUCAGCCUCGCGUGACGCUGAUACUCAGAGCGCCGGGACCCUGUUAGGGUUUUACGGAUGUAUAUGAAUUGCUCGGCCGCCUUUCGUCAGUCGGACCAGCUGUUCGUGUGCUUGGUGGAUGUAAUAAGGGACGUGCUGUUUCUAAACAGAGACUUUCUCACUGGAUCGUGGACGCUAUCAAAUGCCAGGGGAAGGAUUACCCCCUCAACAUCAGAGCUCAUUCUGCGAGGACAUUAUAAAUGCUUCCUGAUGGGCCUGGUCUAGAGGUAUGUCUGUCCAGUAUUUAUGUUUUGCUGCUGGCUGGUCUUCCCAGAACACAAUCGCCAGGUUUUACAAGCUGGAUGUACCCUCUGUAGCGUCACAUGUUUUUCGGUGAGUUAAAUUUUUAUUCAUUAAAGCUGUUAUAACCAGCUAUACAGUGCCCAGACAGCACAUGUACGUCUGGCCGACGUCGGCCCAAUAUCGAAACGUCGGCCUCUAUACCUAAAACAUCUAUAAAACAUCGGCCUGGCGGAGGCCGAUAUAAUUUGGUCAGUGCUCUGUUCUCCAGCUCAUCAAUCGUCGGCCCUGAGUUGGUUCACGACCGCGGGCCGAUGCCGCGCUUAUCUGUGUGCGCGUGCCCAGUAUUCAUCUCUUUUAGCCACCCAGAGAGAGAGAAGAGGAUAAUCCCAGCGACAUCUGUGGCUCUGAGGCUUCCAGAAAUAAUCCGGUGAAAUAAUAUGGUGAGCUAUUGUUGCUUGUUGCUUCUGAACUACAAAAUGAUUUUUUAAUUUAUUAUUGAAUGAGACUGUACAUUAUAAAUGUAAUGCUUUAACUCUAGAUGUUUGUUUGUGUGAAUGCUGUGUGUGCGUUGAGUCCUGCGCGAGCGGGGAGCAGAGUUGCCAUGGAAACGGGGCAUCAACACAAAAACCGUUACUGGCAAGCAGUAAUCUCCAUCUCUCGCUGCGGUUUACACUGUUUUGGGAGGACAGAAAGAAACUCUACAGAACAGAAGUGAAGCUCCAAGAUUUCAACAUUUCUGAAGGGAGAUUCUGACUUAGAAAUACAGGUGACCUGAAGAAGCUCAUGAAAAACAUGAAUAUGCCUUUUUCAGAAUACAUUUCACCAAUUUUAAGAAGUCCCUGACAUCAUAACCUUGUUUCCUUCUAAUGAACCUGGAACUGUAGAGUAAAUAUUGUUGACUCUGUGUCAGAUUGCUUGUUUUGUUCCUGGAUUCUUCAGUGAUGAUGAGCAGAGUCUGAGUGAACCUGCUGUCAGACAGGUUGGCCUGAUUGACGAUGCCAUCGUCCAUCGCCGAUGGCUGAUAGACAUCACGAUGCUGCGCCGGAAACAGCGUCAUCAGCUCCAGUAUCUUGCCCAUGCAUCUGUUGUCAUGCGACAGAGAAGUCACGUUCUAUAGACAGUUUCUAUAGACAGUUGUGAACGUGCUGACAGCUGGUUGCCCAGGCUAUGGAUUAAAGGUAAUACUGUUGGCCAGCAGAGCCCUGCUCACCCUGACGGCCCACUGCUGCUGUCAGACAACAUCUUAAAGAUGCUAUAAACUGCAGGACCAGAUGGCCAUCCCAAGGUUUCUAGAGAUUACAGCAGCUCCAGACUGAAUCCAAACUCACUUUUGAAGACUUCAGAUGAGACCAACGCUCACAAAGACUACAGACGACAACUGUACAUGAACUUAUUUUGCCUAUAAGGGUAAAUUUGAUGAUUUUCAAACUGCUUUAUUGUAACGUCUCUUAUAUCUGUAAAUGAACAAUAUUUACUCUCUGAGUUAUGUGGACCUACAUGUCCCCUUUUAUUUGUAAGCAUCACUUUAAAAAUGUUGAAAGAUAAUGUUAAUGUUAACUGAAUACAAAACUAGAGACUUGUUUAGUAAGAUUUUAUCAGAAAAUAUUUGUGAACUUUUAUCAUGCAAUUUAAAACAUUUUAAUUGCUUAAUUAGUAUUGUUUGCCUGGUUUUAUUUUGUGUUUAUGUAACUCUUUUUAAAAAGUUCUUGGCAUAAAGUUCGCAUGCGAUGCUGACAGCACUGAACACAUGACUUUUUAUUAUGAACUAGAUGGUCUUCUCAGUGAGUCUCAGUCAUCUCUGGCUUUUUAAACUGUAACCUUGAAACAUGCAUUUCCCGUAAACCUACUUUGAAAUAAGUAUUGUCAAAAGGUGCUAUACUCAUACAACAUUUAACCAUGCAAGUACUGUAGUAAUGGUUAUUUUUGUUUUUACUAUGGGUUUACUGCAAAAGCUGUAGUAAAAUCAUGGUGAUUGUAGUAAAACUAUGGUUGAUUUUGUUUUUUCUAUGGUUUUACUGCAAAAGCUGUAGUAAAAUAAUGGUUAAUGUUCAAAAGACUACAAAUAAUCCCGAAUUAUCCACUUUUGAUCAAAGCAUCUGGUAAAUGUUAUUGUAUUUGUACAUGUAAUAUGAAAUAAAUGAAAAUAUUAAUAAAGUUGCGUCUGUUCUUGA